UGGGGAAUAUUGCACAAUGGGCGCAAGCCUGAUGCAGCCAUGCUGCGUGUAUGAAGAAGGCCUUCGGGUUGUAAAGUACUUUCAGUCGGGAGGAAGGUGGUAAGGUUAAUAACCUUAUCAAUUGACGUUACCGACAGAAGAAGCACCGGCUAACUCCGUGCCAGCAGCCGCGGUAAUACGGAGGGUGCAAGCGUUAAUCGGAAUUACUGGGCGUAAAGCGCACGCAGGCGGUUGAUUGAGUCAGAUGUGAAAUCCCCGGGCUUAACCCGGGAAUUGCAUCUGAUACUGGUCAGCUAGAGGCUUGUAGAGGGGGGUAGAAUUCCAUGUGUAGCGGUGAAAUGCGUAGAGAGGUGGAGGAAGACCGGUGGCGAAGGCGGCCCCCUGGACAAAGACUGACGCUCAGGUGCGAAAGCGUGGGGAGCAAACAGG
rnacentral:rRNA from 1 species